AACAGGAUUAGAUACCCUGGUAGUCCAUGCCGUAAACGUUGGGCGCUAGAUGUAGGGACCUUCCCACGGUUUCUGUGUCGUAGCUAACGCAUUAAGCGCCCCGCCUGGGGAGUACGGCCGCAAGGCUAAAACUCAAAGGAAUUGACGGGGGCCCGCACAAGCGGCGGAGCAUGCGGAUUAAUUCGAUGCAACGCGAAGAACCUUACCAAGGCUUGACAUACACCGGAAACGGCCAGAGAUGGUCGCCCCCUUGUGGUCGGUGUACAGGAGGUGCAUGGUUGUCGUCAGCUCGUGUCGUGAGAUGUUGGGUUAAGUCCCGCAACGAGCGCAACCCUCGUUCUAUGUUGCCAGCGGGUUAUGCCGGGGACUCAUAGGAGACUGCCGGGGUCAACUCGGAGGAAGGUGGGGAUGACGUCAAAUCAUCAUGCCCCUUAUGUCUUGGGCUUCACGCAUGCUACAAUGGCCGGUACAAAGGGCUGCGAUACCGUAAGGUGGAGCGAAUCCCAAAAAGCCGGUCUCAGUUCGGAUUGAGGUCUGCAACUCGACCUCAUGAAGUCGGAGUCGCUAGUAAUCGCAGAUCAGCAACGCUGCGGUGAAUACGUUCCCGGGCCUUGUACACACCGCCCGUCAAGUCAUGAAAGUCGGUAACACCCGAAGCCGGUGGCCUAACCCUUGUGGAAGGAGCCGUCGAAGGUGGGAUCGGUGAUUAGGACUAAGUCGUAACAAGGU
rnacentral:rRNA from 1 species